rnacentral:lncRNA from 1 species
GAGGGAAGGGAGCUCCAGGUGCCGGGAAGUCUACUCCUGGGACGCGGGCGUGGGUCGCUUCUCCCUGGCUGGGCCCAAGGAGGAACCCAAGUCGCUGCUUCCAUCCCUCCGCUUUGGGGGAACUGCCUGCUGGUGUUCUGGGUUCUCUAUCAGGGGCUGGGGAAGGAUAGAACAGAGGGCGGAGCGCGCGCAGGGUGGAUGGGCAGCGUAGAG